AACCAAAAAAUAUGUCAAAAUUUACUGUAUUUUUCAUAAUUGUUAUUACAUUGUUAGUUGUAAUAAAUGUUCAUGGUCAAGUUAAUUUUGGAAAACAACUUUAUCAACAAGCUGUUAAAAAUAAAAAUACAAAAUUAUUAACCAAAAUGUGCAAGCCAAAACUUGAUAAAUGUCAACAAAAAGAUAAAUGUUUACAAUAUUAUUGUCAACAUUUGUUUGAUAGUUGUAUGACUGGCCAGAAAACAUCAAUGGAUCCGAUAAUGUGUACCAAAAAAUCAGUGCAAAAAUUUUUAGAUAAUGGUGGAU